GAAGUAGUUCCGGCAACAAUGUUCUUCCACAAGACGCAUGCAGUUCUAAAAGAUCCCACCAUUUACUGGCGCGUCACUGUAUGUCUGAUCUAAAACACAACUACCCUCAUGUUUUGCCGCAGGACAGCAAUUACUGCAUAGCUUAAGUUCAUGGGGAUGUGAGGUGACACCUGAACGUAGGAUACAGAUCAGGAGAGGCCUCUUCCACUCUGCCGGAUACAAUUGUCUGACACUAUCUGGAUUGUAAUAUCCUCUGAUGAAAAGGAGUGAUGUAAUAUUCAUGGGUGCCCAUUAUUCCCCUGCUGGGCUGCGUGUGUGGUGAGAGAGGUGGAGGUACAGUACAG